UACAGAGGUAUCAAGCGUUGUUCGGAAUCACUGGGCGUAAAGCGUGCGUAGGCUGUUUCGUAAGUCGUGUGUGAAAGGCGCGGGCUCAACCUGUGGCCUGCAUUUGAAACUGUUUUUCUUGAGUACUGGAGAGGCAGACGGAAUUCCUAGUGUAGCGGUGAAAUGCGUAGAUAUUAGGAGGAACACCAGUGGCGAAGGCGGCUUACUGGACGAUGACUGACGCUGAGGCUCGAAAGCGUGGGGAGCAAACAGG
rnacentral:rRNA from 1 species